CCUACGGGUGGCAGCAGUGAGGAAUAUUGGUCAAUGGGCGAGAGCCUGAACCAGCCAAGUCGCGUGAGGGAAGACGGUCCUAUGGAUUGUAAACCUCUUUUGCCGGGGAGCAAAAAGCGGUACGUGUACCGCAUCGAGCGUACCCGGAGAAAAAGCAUCGGCUAACUCCGUGCCAGCAGCCGCGGUAAUACGUAGGGGGCAAGCGUUAUCCGGAUUUACUGGGUGUAAGGGGAGCGUAGGCGGCGAUGCAAGUCAGAAGUGAAAGCCCGGGGCUCAACUCCGGGACUGCUUUGGAACAGGUGUUGCUGGAGUGCAGGAGAGGUAAGGGGAAUUCGGGGUGUAGCGGUG
rnacentral:rRNA from 1 species